UACGUAGGGUGCAAGCGUUAAUCGGAAUUACUGGGCGUAAAGCGUGCGCAGGCGGUUCUGUAAGUCAGAUGUGAAAUGCCCGGGCUUAACCUGGGAACUGCAUUUGUGACUGCAUGGCUAGAGUUUGGCAGAGGGGGGUAGAAUUCCACGUGUAGCAGUGAAAUGCGUAGAUAUGUGGAGGAACACCGAUGGCGAAGGCAGCCCCCUGGGUCAAGACUGACGCUCAUGCACGAAAGCGUGGGGAGCAAACAGG
rnacentral:rRNA from 1 species